GAGUUUGAUCGUGGCUCAGAUUGAACGCUGGCGGCAGGCCUAACACAUGCAAGUCGGGCGGUAGAGAGAAGCUUGCUUCUCUUGAGAGCGGCGGACGGGUGAGUAAUGCCUAGGAAUCUGCCUGGUAGUGGGGGAUAACGCUCGGAAACGGACGCUAAUACCGCAUACGUCCUACGGGAGAAAGCAGGGGACCUUCGGGCCUUGCGCUAUCAGAUGAGCCUAGGUCGGAUUAGCUAGUUGGUGAGGUAAUGGCUCACCAAGGCGACGAUCCGUAACUGGUCUGAGAGGAUGAUCAGUCACACUGGAACUGAGACACGGUCCAGACUCCUACGGGAGGCAGCAGUGGGGAAUAUUGGACAAUGGGCGAAAGCCUGAUCCAGCCAUGCCGCGUGUGUGAAGAAGGUCUUCGGAUUGUAAAGCACUUUAAGUUGGGAGGAAGGGCAGUAAAUUAAUACUUUGCUGUUUUGACGUUACCGACAGAAUAAGCACCGGCUAACUCUGUGCCAGCCGCCGA
rnacentral:rRNA from 1 species